GGAGGAAAGUAGGGGAUCGCAAGACCUCAUGCUCGUGGAGCGGCCGAUAUCUGAUUAGCUAGUUGGUAGGGUAAAAGCCUACCAAGGCAUCGAUCAGUAGCUGGUCUGAGAGGACGACCAGCCACACUGGAACUGAGACACGGUCCAGACUCCUACGGGAGGCAGCAGUGGGGAAUUUUGGACAAUGGGCGAAAGCCUGAUCCAGCAAUGCCGCGUGAGUGAAGAAGGCCUUCGGGUUGUAAAGCUCUUUUGUCAGGGAAGAAACGGUGAGGGCUAAUAUCCCUUGCUAAUGACGGUACCUGAAGAAUAAGCACCGGCUAACUACGUGCCAGCAGCCGCGGUAAUACGUAGGGUGCAAGCGUUAAUCGGAAUUACUGGGCGUAAAGCGUGCGCAGGCGGUUUUGUAAGUCUGAUGUGAAAUCCCCGGGCUCAACCUGGGAAUUGCGUUUGAAACUACAAGGCUAG
rnacentral:rRNA from 1 species